GCAUUGUUGAGGAGUCCCAUACUAGGACGAAACGGCUGUCCAGUGC
rfam:Schistosoma margrebowiei strain Zambia genome assembly, scaffold: SMRZ_contig0000116